GCUGAAUUAGCUAGCUUGAGUGCAACUGCCACUUCUUCCACCACUGCUGCCACCACCACUGUCACCGCCUCCACCUACCACCGCUUCAACCACUGCUAUUUAUUCUGCUGCUGCCGCCACUACCACCACCAACACCACCACCACCACACCACCACCACCGCUGUCGCAACCGCCUCCACCGCUAUACCUGUACAAACUAUUAAUGUCUAAUUUACCACUGUCACAACCACCACCAUCGCCACCUUGUCACUGACUAUAUUACCGAUUCACCAUUACACAAACUCCACUCACUUGACCACCCAACCACUGGAAUCCUAUUGUGCACCACCACUGCCACCACAAAUACUACCACCAAUACCACCACCAAAACUUGGGCCCAGUAUAAGCCAGCCAGCGCUUAAUCUAUUACUAUUACUAAAUAAUAAUAAUAAUGAUAAUAUUUUUAAAAUUUAAACAUUACACAUACACACGUAUAUAUAUGUAUUUAUAUAUAGAUAUAUACACAUACACACACACAAACUGUUGUCAGGCUGUAUCAGCCUUGCCAUUCCUUUGGAUAAACAUCGGUAGAAUGGAGAAAAAAAACUUGCAUGCCAAGGCAAUUGUUGCCAUAUCUCAGAGGAAAACUAGAAACAAAACCCUGCUCAGGGCUGUUCCUUGGAGAAGAAAUUACUUUACCAUGUCCAGAAACUCAGAUGUCCAAUGCCAGAUUUCACACACUAAUUAAUGCAUGCAUGCACACAUACAUACAAACCUACAAGAUAUGAUCCUAACAUUCUGGUUAAUGGUUCAGUGUUGUAAGAAUUAUUGGAACAGAUGUAGGAAAGAACAUAUUGUGUGUAACUGGAAAUCUAUUGAGACAAGGAUAUUGCAAUGUGAAUAUCUGUAUGCAAUGAAGACAAAAAGCACCCACAGCAGUUGAAAAAGGAAAAUGAUACCAUGGCAGAUGCAUAAGAAUCCUGUAGUUUCAAAGCUUUGAGAUACGAAUUAUAAAAAGUCAGAUUUAAUUACAGUGGAUAAAAGGAUCACCAAAAAAUCACGAUGUUUUCGGAAAUGCAAAACAUAAAUUCACUGCAUGUUUAAAACAAAUCAUAUGAACAUUUCUCUACUCUUUUAUCGGUGGAGUUUUAUUUUCUAAGGAGAGAGGUACUCGGAGUUUGUUUGAAAUUUUGAUGUGUGCAUUAUUGAUAUGCCAGCAACUAACUGGAACAUCAACCAGAACACCACCUUUGGACACAGGCUUGAUCAAUCAAUAUUGUCAGCCAAUGAGAGAGACCUUUAUAUGGUAGUUAGAGCUGGCAGAAAUAGCAGCCAAAUCUCCCUCAAAUCACACCUUACUGUCUUAUGUAUGUAUGUGUAUGUUUAUAUAUAUAUAUAUGUUGUGUGUGUAUAUAUGUCUGAACCAAUGAAGAAGGCCUCAGCAAGAUAGCUAGGCCUGUUAGAAAUAGCAGCCAAAUAUCCCUCACGUGCGUUUUAUGUAUGUAUGAGCCAACAAGGAAGAUCUGUACAUGGUGGCUAAAUCUGAUAGAAAUAGCAGCCAAAUCUCUCUCAAAUCACACCUUACUGUCUUAUGUAUGUAUGUGUAUGUUUAUAUAUAUAUAUGUUUGUAUGUGUAUGUUUGAGCCAAUGAAGAAGACCUCAACAAGGUAGCUAGACCUGCUAGAAAUACCAGCCAAAUAUCCCUCACGUGCGUUUUAUGUAUGUUUAUAUGUAUGAGCCAAGGGAGAUUUCUACAUGGAAGCUAAACCUGCUAGAAAUAGCAGCCAAAUCUUUCUCAAAUCAAAUCCUACUGGCUUAUGUAUGUAUGAAUCAAUAAAGAGGAUCUGUACAUGGUAACCAGACCUGGUAGAAAUAGCAGCUUAAUCUUUUUCAACUCACACCUUACUGCCUUAUGUAUGUAUACAUGGAUGGUAAAUGUGGAAAAUCUAUGUGGUAGAUAGGUGUGCUAGAAACAGCAGUCAAUUCUCCUUCAGACUGCACCCCACCACUAUUUUACAUAUGUAACCAAAAAGGGAAAAUCUCUACAUGGUUGCCAGACCUUAUAGAAAUAGCAGCUAAAUAUCCUUCAAAUUUUAACAAAGCAGUCUCUAUGUAAUCAAUUGCUCAAACUGCUAAGAAACACUAGCCAAUAUAAGACAGGAUGGUCAUGGCUGGAACACCUUUGGUCACAGGCAGUGAUGGAGAUUUUGGGCUCGCAUCUGGACUAAGAUAUCUUUUUUUUUUGUUUGUUUUAAGUUUUUCUGUGACAUUAAGGAGCUCACUCCAUGGUCACAUGGUUCCAGGUUCAGUCCCACUGUGUGGCAGCUUGGGCAAGUGUCUUCUACUACAGCCCCCAAGCCAACAACAGAUACCUUGUGAAUGAACCUGGUAGAAAGAAACUGUGAGAAAUCCCAUCGAAUAUGUGUGUGUGUUUAUCUCCCAUCACCGCUGGCAACUGGUGUUGGUUUGUUUACACCCCCUUAACAGUGGUUCAGCAAAAGAAACCAGCAGGAUAAGUGCCAGACUUGAAAACCAGUCCUGGCAUCGAUUUGUUCAGCUAAACCCUUCAAAGUUGUGUACCAGCAUGGCCAUAGUCCAGUGAUUGAAAGAAGAUACAAGACAAUACUCUUCACAUGGAAUCAUCUAGGAGGACAUCUUGUACUCCCAAAUACAUUCAGUGAACCCAUCGACUUUUCUAUACAAACUCCACACACAAAAUAUUCCUUAAACUGGUUACUUGUUCUGCAAACCAAAUCUCUCAAAAGUCCUCUUGAAAAAUUUUUCUACUCAUUUGAAACUACUCUGCAGAUGACAUUUUAAACCUUAAAUCUUUAAGCAUACGCCUAACAACAAACUGAGAAACUGGUCCUUUUAUAUACCCCCCUAAAUUGGCAAAUGUUAAACAAAAUACAUCAUUCAAAAUCCUCUCAAAAAAAUAGUGGAAGAAUUUUUCUACUCUCAUUUGAAACUACUUAGAACAAGAACUUGAAAAUCUUGAUUUUUCAACAUACCCAAAGAUGAAUCUGUGAAAGAGUACCUUUUAUACAACCCCUAAACUGGAAACUGUUUAAAAAUUGUUCAAAAAUCCUCUCAAAAAAUACUGAAAAAGUUUUUCUUAUCACAUUUGAGACUAUUCUGCAGAAGACCUUUUAAAUCUUUAAGCAUUACACCUAACAACAAGCUGAGAAAGUGGUCCUUUUAUAUAUAUCCCCUAAAUUGGUAAAUGUUAACCAAAAUACAUCUUUCAAAGUCCUCUCAAAAAACACUGGAAGAAUUUUUCUACUUUCAUUUGAAACUAUUCCGAAGAAGACGUUUUCAAUCUUAAAUCUUUAAGCAUACCCCUAACAGCGAGCUGAAAAAGAGGUCCUUUUAUAUACCUACUAAACUGGCAAAUGUGCAACAAAUGCAUUUUUCUAAGUCUUCUCAAAAAAUACUAAGAGUUUUUCAGCUCUCAUUUGUAACUACUCAGAAAAGAAAAAAAAAUUGCUAAAUCUUAAAUCAUUGAAAAUACUCUUAACACAAAGCAGUGAAUGAGUAUGUUUUGUACUCCUAAAUAUACCUACACAGCAAAAACUGUUGCAUCUUAGCUCUUUCAACCAAACUCUCCUUAUAUAAUACAAAUUUUUUUUUUAAUGUAUAUAUAUAAAUAUAUACACUCCUUAAAUGGCCCUGCUCAGCAGGACUGUUAAAAAUUAUUUCGGCCAAACUCCUUCAAUGACUUCAGAGCAAGGACUAUGCGUUUGAAAUAUGAAAUGAAAUAAAACAAACUUUU
rnacentral:lncRNA from 1 species